rnacentral:rRNA from 1 species
AUACGGAGGAUCCGAGCGUUAUCCGGAUUUAUUGGGUUUAAAGGGUGCGUAGGUGGUUUGAUAAGUCAGCGGUGAAAGUUUGCAGCUUGACUGUAAAAAUGCCGUUGAAACUGUCGGACUUGAGUGUAAAUGGGGUAGGCGGAAUGCGUGGUGUAGCGGUGAAAUGCAUAGAUAUCACGCAGAACUCCGAUUGCGAAGGCAGCUUACUAAGCUACAACUGACACUGAAGCACGAAAGCGUGGGGAUCAAACAGGAUUAGAUACCCUGGUAGUCCACGCAGUAAACGAUGAUUACUAGCUGUUUGCGAUACACAGUAAGCGGCACAGCGAAAGCGUUAAGUAAUCCACCUGGGGAGUACGCCGGCAACGGUGAAACUCAAAGGAAUUGACGGGG